rfam:Peptococcaceae bacterium BRH_c4b BRHa_1000929, whole genome shotgun sequence.
AAAGAGCCCCACGUGAAAGGAGUAGCUGUACUUUACCAUUACGACCCCGAGUCAUGCGCGGGUAACCGUGAGGCUACACGUGAAGCGUUGACAGGGGAAAACGCAGGCCACCAGUCCGGGGUUACGACCUCGUACAACGACAGGGAAGGCAACACGGUAUGACGGCGUUAAGCAACGAGUCGUAUACUCAGGGAUCA